AUUGAACGCUGGCGGCAUGCUUUACACAUGCAAGUCGAACGGUAACAGGCCGCAAGGUGCUGACGAGUGGCGAACGGGUGAGUAAUGCAUCGGAACGUGCCCAGUCGUGGGGGAUAACUGCUCGAAAGAGCAGCUAAUACCGCAUACGAUCUAUGGAUGAAAGCGGGGGACCGUAAGGCCUCGCGCGAUUGGAGCGGCCGAUGUCAGAUUAGGUAGUUGGUGGGGUAAAGGCUCACCAAGCCAACGAUCUGUAGCUGGUCUGAGAGGACGACCAGCCACACUGGGACUGGGACACGGCCCAGACUCCUACGGGAGGCAGCAGUGGGGAAGUUUGGACAAUGGGGGCAACCCUGAUCCAGCAAUGCCGCGUGCAGGAAGAAGGCCUUCGGGUUGUAAACUGCUUUUGUACGGAACGAAACGGUCUGGGUUAAUACCCUGGGCUAAUGACGGUACCGUAAGAAUAAGCACCGGCUAACUACGUGCCAGCCGCCGCCGUAAUAC
rnacentral:rRNA from 1 species